CUACGUGCCAGCAGCCGCGGUAAUACGUAGGUCCCGAGCGUUGUCCGGAUUUAUUGGGCGUAAAGCGAGCGCAGGCGGUUUGAUAAGUCUGAAGUUAAAGGCUGUGGCUCAACCAUAGUUCGCUUUGGAAACUGUCAAACUUGAGUGCAGAAGGGGAGAGUGGAAUUCCAUGUGUAGCGGUGAAAUGCGUAGAUAUAUGAAGGAACACCGGUGGCGAAAGCGGCUCUCUGGUCUGUAACUGACGCUGAGGCUCGAAAGCGUGGGGAGCGAACAGGAUUAGAUACCCUGGUAGUCCACGCCGUAAACGAUGAGUGCUAGGUGUUGGAUCCUUUCCGGGAUUCAGUGCCGCAGCUAACGCAUUAAGCACUCCGCCUGGGGAGUACGACCGCAAGGUUGAAACUCAAAGGAAUUGACGGGGGCCCGCACAAGCGGUGGAGCAUGUGGUUUAAUUCGAAGCAACGCGAAGAACCUUACCAGGUCUUGACAUCCCGAUGCUAUUUCUAGA
rnacentral:rRNA from 1 species